rnacentral:rRNA from 1 species
GAUGAACGCUGGCGGCGUGCCUAAUACAUGCAAGUCGAGCGAACUGAUUAGAAGCUUGCUUCUAUGACGUUAGCGGCGGACGGGUGAGUAACACGUGGGCAACCUGCCUGUAAGACUGGGAUAACUUCGGGAAACCGAAGCUAAUACCGGAUAGGAUCUUCUCCUUCAUGGGAGAUGAUUGAAAGAUGGUUUCGGCUAUCACUUACAGAUGGGCCCGCGGUGCAUUAGCUAGUUGGUGAGGUAACGGCUCACCAAGGCAACGAUGCAUAGCCGACCUGAGAGGGUGAUCGGCCACACUGGGACUGAGACACGGCCCAGACUCCUACGGGAGGCAGCAGUAGGGAAUCUUCCGCAAUGGACGAAAGUCUGACGGAGCAACGCCGCGUGAGUGAUGAAGGCUUUCGGGUCGUAAAACUCUGUUGUUAGGGAAGAACAAGUACUAGAGUAACUGCUAGUACCUUGACGGUACCUAACCAGAAAGCCACGGCUAACUGCGUGCCAGCAGCCGCCGUAACAC